rnacentral:misc_RNA from 1 species
CAAUCAAACAAGUUUCGAUGUAAAUAUUGUUAGGCUCGUGGUCUCGCUCGGCCGUUCAAAUCCGAGAAGUCGCCCGUCGUCUCUGUUUUGACAUUUAUUUCAGUUGUAACGCUUCCUUUUCUAUUCUUUAACUAUGUCUGAGAAGGCCAAGGAGCUGAAAACAGAGGAGGCAGAAGGAGCGAGGGUCAGGGCGCUUAAAGAGGCCUUAAAUCACAGUGUAGAGAAGGUUCUUGGGGGUUGGAAGGCGUCGCUCUUCGCCAAAUGCUUCCCCUCUCUCGCGACUGACAACGAGGCUGUCUUAGAGGCCAUCCGGGUGUCGGUGGUAGAGGCCGUGCGCAAUGCCGUGUACGAGGACCUCGCAGGGAUCAUUGAGGAGGAGGGCAUAGCCGGGCCACUGGAGGAGCUCAGCACCCUGGUCAAGAAUUACUCGGGGCCCAAGUAUGCCAAGGCUUGGAGGCCCAGUGGGGAUCCUGCUGCUGAUGCCCGGGCACAUGAUGCCAAGUUUUUGCAACAUGAGAAGCAACGGCUCAUAGAAAGCUUAGAGUCCCACAGAAAAGGUUCAGAAGAAUUGUUGCACCGCGUAAAAGCAGGACGCAAGGAGUGCAGAGAGAAUCAGAAAGAGAUUCAGAGUCAGCUGGCAGCCCUGAAGGAACUCUCGGACGUGUGUGGCAAACUGCAGAAGGAGAAGAGAUUUUCUUUCUGCAAUACCAUGUUCUUCGGUGCUGACGUGCCCCACGGUAUGGCUGAGGGCAAUAUAGUGUAGCCGUUUCUGUUACUUAAAGAAUCGGAGAAUGCUAUAGUGUUAGCAUCCUGGAGAGAUUGAUGGAGACUGCAUGGUUCAAUGAUUCUUUGAAUUGCUUGUAUUGUCCUGUUUAUUUCUAGUUUUAUCUUAUACUUAACCUAUGUUAAUAGGUCCACACUCAUUCAUUCCUGUACAAUGUGUAUAAGGUUGGAUGAAUAAAGACACAUUUUAUUUUUUUAAUUCUAUGGGGCAAAAACAUAGUUUCUUAGAAACUAGAUAUAUUAAAGAUAUGUUGAUUGGGGGGAUGAGGUGUUAUGUCUGUACAUAUUUAGAGAGUAAAGGAACUGUUUAGAUGUUCAUUAAUAUUGAUAUAGAUUGGGGAAAAGUGGCAAAGCAUAUUUGAUUUUACUUUGCUAAUAAUAAAGGAUUCCUAUAUAACUCUCUUUGUGUCAUGCCCAGUGCACUUGAGAAAAAAAAGAAAAAAAAAAGGUAAAUUUUCAAAGGUGCAUUCUUAGAGAUUUCUAGUGAAAUGAGUGAGAAAAAAGAAACCGUUUAGCUUGGAAUGCACCAAUAUACUUGCCUGCAUUCUUCGUAUAUAUAUAUUUUCCAAGAUGCAGCAAAAAUUAAUAGAUGUAAGGUAGAUAUAUCAGCUCAUUUGCUCGAUGGAUUUAUUACGCCCAAAUUUUAUUUCAUGUUGACAAAUCAAUCUAUCCUUCUGCAUUCUAAACUUCCACAAACAGGAGUAUUCACAGUCAUAUGCAAUUUAAUUUAUUAAUUGCAUAAGAUUAUCAAUAAUCACAAUUAAAUACAAUGUUUGGAUGAAAUACAAAUUUGCAUAAAGA